UACAUGGGGUGCAAACGUUGCUCGGAAUUAUUGGGCGUAAAGCGCGCGUAGGCGGUUACUUAAGUCGGAUGUGAAAGCCCUCGGCUUAACUGAGGAAGUGCACCCGAAACUGAGUAGCUAGAGUACUAAAGAGGGAAGCGGAAUUUCCGGUGUAGCGGUGAAAUGCGUAGAUAUCGGAAGGAACACCAGUGGCGAAAGCGGCUUCCUGGUCCAGCACCGACGUUCAGGCACGAAAGCGUGGGGAGCAAACAGG
rnacentral:rRNA from 1 species